GGGCCCGCACAAGCGGUGGAGUAUGUGGUUUAAUUCGAUGCAACACGAAGAACCUUACCAGGGUUUGAAAUCAUUUCAAAACUCCUUGAAAGAGGAGCCUCCUUCGGGAUGAAAUGACAGGUGGUGCAUGGCUGUCGUCAGCUCGUGUUGUGAAAUGUCGAGUUAAGUCUCGUAACGAGCGCAACCCAUGUCUCUUGUUGCUCACUGAGUGCUUAAGAGAGACUGCCGACCAACAUCGGAGGAAGGUGUGGAUGAUGUCAAGUCAGCAUGCCCCUUACAUCCUGGGCUACACACGUACUACAAUGGUAAGGACAAUGAGCUGCGAUCCUGCGAAGGCUAGCCAAUCUCAAAACUGGGCCCAGUUCGGAUUGGAGGCUGCAACUCGCCUCCAUG
rnacentral:rRNA from 1 species